rnacentral:rRNA from 1 species
UUGACGGGGGCCCGCACAAGCGGCGGAGCAUGCGGAUUAAUUCGAUGCAACGCGAAGAACCUUACCUGGGUUUGACAUGGAUUGGUAACGGUCAGAGAUGGCCGCCCCCCUUGUGGGCCGAUUCACAGGUGGUGCAUGGCUGUCGUCAGCUCGUGUCGUGAGAUGUUGGGUUAAGUCCCGCAACGAGCGCAACCCUCGUCCACUGUUGCCAGCAAUUCGGUUGGGGACUCAGUGGAGACCGCCGGGGUCAACUCGGAGGAAGGUGGGGAUGACGUCAAGUCAUCAUGCCCCUUAUGUCCAGGGCUUCACGCAUGCUACAAUGGCCGGUACAAAGAGUUGCGACACUGUGAGGUGGAGCGAAUCUCAAAAAGCCGGUCUCAGUUCGGAUUGGGGUCUGCAACUCGACCCCAUGAAGUCGGAGUCGCUAGUAAUCGCAGAUCAGCAACGCUGCGGUGAAUACGCC